CAGUCGCCGCGGUAAUACGUAGGUGGCAAGCGUUGUCCGGAAUUAUUGGGCGUAAAGCGCGCGCAGGCGGAUAGGUCAGUCUGUCUUAAAAGUUCGGGGCUUAACCCCGUGAUGGGAUGGAAACUGCCAAUCUAGAGUAUCGGAGAGGAAAGUGGAAUUCCUAGUGUAGCGGUGAAAUGCGUAGACAUUAGGAAGAACACCAGUGGCGAAGGCGACUUUCUGGACGAAAACUGACGCUGAGGCGCGAAAGCCAGGGGAGCGAACGGGAUUAGAUACCCGUGUAGUCCCUGUCUCUUAUACA
rnacentral:rRNA from 1 species